rnacentral:rRNA from 1 species
GACGAACGCUGGCGGCGUGCUUAACACAUGCAAGUCGAACGGAAAGGCCCCCUUGUGGGGUACUCGAGUGGCGAACGGGUGAGUAACCCGUGAGUAACCUACCCUUGACUUUGGGAUAACUUCAGGAAACCGGGGCUAAUACCGGAUAGGAGCUCCUGCUGCAUGGUGGGGGUUGGAAAGUUUCGGCGGUGGGGGAUGGGCUCGCGGCUUAUCAGCUUGUUGGUGGGGUAGUGGCUCACCAAGGCUUUGACGGGUAGCCGGCCGGAGAGGGUGACCGGCCACAUUGGGACUGAGAUGCGGCCCAGACUCCUACAGGGGGCAGCAGUGGGGAAUAUUGCACAAUGGGCGGAAGCCUGAUGCAGCAACGCCGCGGGCGGGAGGACGGCCGUCGGGUUGUAAACCGCUUCCGCCUGUGACGAAGCGGGAGUGACGGUAAUGGGUAAAGAAGCACCGGCUAACUACGUG